rnacentral:rRNA from 1 species
UACGGAGGGUGCAAGCGUUAUCCGGAUUUACUGGGUUUAAAGGGAGCGCAGGCGGAUUGGUAAGUCAGUGGUGAAAUCCCCGUGCUUAACAUGGGAACCGCCAUUGAUACUAUCAGUCUUGAAUGUUGUUGAGGUUUGCGGAAUGGGUCAUGUAGCGGUGAAAUGCAUAGAUAUGACCCGGAACACCUAUUGCGAAGGCAGUAGGCUAAACAAAUAUUGACGCUGAGGCUCGAAAGCGUGGGGAUCAAACAGG